GAGCUCGUGUCAGCAGAUCAUUGUUUAAAUCUGAAACUGUACAGAGAGGAUAAACAUGACCCCAGCUCAGGGUUGAAACACUAAUUGGUGGUGCAUCCAUUUU